GAGCGGAGCGUGCGGGUCUUCGGGGGUUCCUCAGUGGGACUGGGAAUGGGAGCGAGACCGGCCCUUCCCGGCCUGGUCAUGGCGAAACUGAGGGGCCCUUCGGUGGCGGGAAGCCGGUGCUGGCCGAGAAGGGCCGCGCUGCCCUUCCCGCGCCAUGUUGUGGCGAAGCUGCCUGAGGGCCAGUCCCGCUUCCUCUCGGCCCCGGCGCUGAGCGGCCCCGGUGGGGAGACGUGAAGGGGAGAGUGAAGCCCAUCAGCAGGCAAAAAAUGAAGGGGCAGAGAUUGUGUGUCUUCAGAAAAGAAGGGUGAUGCUUCACACAAAGGCUGCCCAGCGAAUGCCUUUGUAACACUGCUUUCCAAGAGGCAAAGCCAUGUGACUGGCAGAGCAGGAGGUGUCCCAGACCCGAGUUCCUCUCGAGAGCAGGGCUGAGUUCUGGAAUGAUCUUCAAAUGUCAAAGGUCAUGGCCUGAGUUUCAGAAUUCCUAACAAAAGUGGCAGCAGCAAAAGAAGUGAUUGGCAGUGUCUGCGUGUGAAGAUUCGUGGAUUCCUCAAAAGCUGAUCAUCUGUGUUUUCUCUACAUGGCUAAGAAGGAUUUUUAAAAAAAGGACUAAAUAAAGAUGCCACCUACCAUAAAUCUGAAUGGGGCUCGUGUAGUUGUAGCACCCCAAGUAACACUAUUUUUUUAACCAUUCUAGGAUUUAAGACUUCUGUUUGUAGAUCUGGGAGCUGGGAUGGUUUAGUACUUCCUGGAAUUAAAGGUAUUUCUUACCUCCAUCCCCUUGGGCACAAAUCUCUGCUGCAGAAGCAGCGGCAUCCAGUGAGAUCAGAUUAUCAGUGUUUGUGUUCUGGCUUUUUAUUCCAGCCUCUGUGGGAAAUCUGGAGGAGGUUUGACUGUAAAAUAGCUUUGCCUUUACUCAUUCUCUCCUAUAUUGCUGUGUAACUUGUAAACAAUGAGCACUGCAAAGAAAGACUUUGUGCUUUUUAGGGAUGAGCAAAACUGCUUUUGGGGUUUUUGAGUCAUCAGUGAUCCCUGGGAGUAUCCAGUACUGUGGGAUCUGUGGAUCAGUGAUGGUGAUGGGACAAGUUGUUGUCAGAAGUGUUUAUUUCAAUAAAUUUGUCAGGUACAGGA